rnacentral:rRNA from 1 species
UACGUAGGGUGCGAGCGUUAAUCGGAAUUACUGGGCGUAAAGCGUGCGCAGGCGGUUAUGUAAGACAGGGGUGAAAUCCCCGGGCUUAACCUGGGAACUGCGCUUGUGACUGCAUAACUCGAGUGUGGCAGAGGGGGGUGGAAUUCCACGUGUAGCAGUGAAAUGCGUAGAGAUGUGGAGGAACACCGAUGGCGAAGGCAGCCCCCUGGGUCAACACUGACGCUCAUGCACGAAAGCGUGGGGAGCAAACAGG